GUCGCUCAGGGAAAGGCGCGGGCAACCUCUGAGUGUCCCGGUAACGUGUGCCUUUGUUCCCCACCCAGGUGAAAAUCUGGUUUCAGAACAAAAGAUCCAAGAUCAAGAAGAUCAUGAAAAACGGGGAGAUGCCCCCGGAGCACAGUCCCAGCUCCAGCGACCCUAUGGCGUGUAACUCGCCACAGUCACCAGCGGUGUGGGAGCCCCAGGGCUCAUCCCGCUCUCUCAGCCACCACCCUCAUGCCCACCCUACGACCUCCAACCAGUCCCCCGCGUCCAGCUACCUGGAGAACUCGGCUUCCUGGUACCCAAGUGCAGCCAGCUCAAUCAAUUCCCACCUGCCACCGCCUGGCUCCCUGCAGCACCCGCUGGCACUGGCCUCCGGGACGCUUUAUUAGAUGGGCUACUCUCUCUUGCUCAGUUUUGGGACUACAGUGUUUUGCUGUUUUAGAAAUCAGAAAGAAAGGAAUUCAUACGGGGAUGUUUGAACAAUGGAAACAAAGAUUCAUGUGUAAAGCUUUUUUUUUGCAUGUAAGUUAUUGCAUUUCAAAGGACCCCGCCCCUUUUUUUACGAAAAGAACCCUUUUUUGCGCAACUGUGGACACUAUCAAUGGUGCCUUGAAAUCUAUGACCUCAACUUUUCAAAAAGACUUUUUUCAAUGUUAUUUUAACCGUGUAAAUAAGUGUAGAUAGAGGAAUUAAACUGUAUAUUCUGGAUAAAUAAAAUUAUUUCGACCAUG
rnacentral:lncRNA from 1 species